rnacentral:rRNA from 1 species
UUGAACGCUGGUGGCAGGCCUAACACAUGCAAGUCGAGCGGAUGAAGGGAGCUUGCUCCUGGAUUCAGCGGCGGACGGGUGAGUAAUGCCUAGGAAUCUGCCUGGUAGUGGGGGAUAACGUCCGGAAACGGGCGCUAAUACCGCAUACGUCCUGAGGGAGAAAGUGGGGGAUCUUCGGACCUCACGCUAUCAGAUGAGCCUAGGUCGGAUUAGCUAGUUGGUGGGGUAAAGGCCUACCAAGGCGACGAUCCGUAACUGGUCUGAGAGGAUGAUCAGUCACACUGGAACUGAGACACGGUCCAGACUCCUACGGGAGGCAGCAGUGGGGAAUAUUGGACAAUGGGCGAAAGCCUGAUCCAGCCAUGCCGCGUGUGUGAAGAAGGUCUUCGGAUUGUAAAGCACUUUAAGUUGGGAGGAAGGGCAGUAAGUUAAUACCUUGCUGUUUUGACGUUACCAACAGAAUAAGCACCGGCUAACUUCGUG